rnacentral:misc_RNA from 1 species
CAAAAUUUAGCUCAAUCGGACCACAAAUGACCUUCCGACUGGUGGAAAUGAUGAAACAGGUAUGUGCUGGAAAUCAAUGAAAAACAGCAGCUAUUCAAGUACAGCUCCAAACAUCUCCACCGUUCACAAUGAAGAAUAAGAUGUGAAGAUGCUGUAGACCAAAUUUGAGCUUGAUCCAACGGUAAACAAGCUCCCCAAACUCAG